UGGGGAAUAUUGGACAAUGGGCGCAAGCCUGAUCCAGCCAUGCCGCGUGUGUGAAGAAGGCCUUCGGGUUGUAAAGCACUUUUGUUGGGGAAGAAAACCUGUUGGUUAAUACCUGGCAGGGAUGACGGUACCCAAAGAAUAAGCACCGGCUAACUUCGUGCCAGCAGCCGCGGUAAUACGAAGGGUGCAAGCGUUACUCGGAAUUACUGGGCGUAAAGCGUGCGUAGGCGGUUGGUUAAGUCUGCUGUGAAAGCCCCGGGCUCAACCUGGGAACUGCAGUGGAUACUGGCCAGCUAGAGUGUGUCAGAGGAUGGUGGAAUUCCCGGUGUAGCGGUGAAAUGCGUAGAGAUCGGGAGGAACACCAGUGGCGAAGGCGGCCAUCUGGGACAACACUGACGCUGAGGCACGAAAGCGUGGGGAGCAAACAGG
rnacentral:rRNA from 1 species